rnacentral:sRNA from 1 species
UUUUGCUUCUUUUUUU